UACGUAGGUGGCGAGCGUUGUCCGGAUUCACUGGGCGUAAAGAGCGCGCAGGCGGCUGGUCAAGUCCGAUGUGAAAGCUCCCGGCUUAACUGGGAAAUUGCAUCGGAAACUGAUCGGCUGGAAGGUGGGAGAGGGUAGCGGAAUUCCCGGUGUAGUGGUGAAAUGCGUAGAUAUCGGGAGGAACACCAGUGGCGAAAGCGGCUACCUGGCCCAUUCUUGACGCUGAGGAACGAAAGCUAGGGGAGCGAAUGGG
rnacentral:rRNA from 1 species